CUGCCGCUAUCCACUUAACUGAUGGGUAGAAGGGACAGUGGCCUUCCUUCUAAAAGUCAUUGCGGGUGUCUUGUCGGUUUUUCAGGCAGUGCGCGAGACACCCGACUAGGACGGAAGAUUUCGCCCUAUGUUACAGACUCCGUUGGUGUCAGCAAUUGGCCCUCAGAACUCAUUGGAUUAGAACGUGGCCACAAGCAAACCAAAACGCGCAGCUUUAAAGAGGACUUGCAACUGAUGCCAGGGCUGUCAAAUCUGAGUCUCCGCUUCACAGCGCAAUUGCUGACUCAGAGCUUGCGACCCCAGUUGUUCAUCCUGUGACCCCCACUGGCCUAAUUGAAAGAGACCAACAGAUCAAGUGGCUUUCAAACACAUUUUAACUGUUGGAUGGCAGAUUGGCGAGUGUGCUGGCAGCUGGCCCUUUCCAGCAGCAAAGAGACAGACAUUCUAAGACCCAGGCCUCACUUAAUUAGUACCUGGGAGUGGCCUAUCCCUAAUUGGCAUCCUGUGCAAAUCACCAGAAGCUGGUGGUACCUGGUGGGUCAUUGUAGUAUUGAGGGAUAGACCUGGGUUUUGGUAACACUGGCAAAUUGCCCUAGAGUAUGGCAAAACUAGGAUGGAUGUUCUGGUGCUUGAUAGCAAGACUGUGGGACUGCUGGAGUUUGGCCAUACGGGAAGUCUGGCAUCAUUAAGGGAAGACCUAGAUUUUUUUUCAGAACUGUGGACAAAACUAUUGCCCAAACCUAAACCUUUGAGAGAGGUUGAGUUCUUCAAGUCAAAACUUUAUCGAAGACAAUUCAGGAG